UACGGAGGGUGCGAGCGUUGUCCGGAAUCAUUGGGCGUAAAGGGCGCGUAGGUGGCGGGACAAGCGUGCGGUGAAAGCUCGGGGCUCAACCCCGCGUCGGCCGUGCGAACUGUUUUGCUUGAGCACUGUAGAGGCAGGCGGAAUUCCGGGUGUAGCGGUGGAAUGCGUAGAGAUCCGGAAGAACACCCGUGGCGAAGGCGGCCCACUGGGCCGGUACUGACGCUGAGGCGCGAAGGCGUGGGGAGCGAACGGG
rnacentral:rRNA from 1 species